UACGAAGGGGGCUAGCGUUGCUCGGAAUCACUGGGCGUAAAGGGUGCGUAGGCGGGCUUUUAAGUCAGGGGUGAAAUCCUGGAGCUCAACUCCGGAACUGCCUUUGAUACUGAAGAUCUUGAGUCCGGGAGAGGUGAGUGGAACUGCGAGUGUAGAGGUGAAAUUCGUAGAUAUUCGCAAGAACACCAGUGGCGAAGGCGGCUCACUGGCCCGGUACUGACGCUGAGGCACGAAAGCGUGGGGAGCAAACAGG
rnacentral:rRNA from 1 species